rnacentral:rRNA from 1 species
GCUCAGAUUGAACGCUGGCGGCAGGCCUAACACAUGCAAGUCGAACGGUAACAGGAAGCAGCUUGCUGCUUCGCUGACGAGUGGCGGACGGGUGAGUAAUGUCUGGGAAACUGCCUGAUGGAGGGGGAUAACUACUGGAAACGGUAGCUAAUACCGCAUAACGUCGCAAGACCAAAGAGGGGGACCUUCGGGCCUCUUGCCAUCGGAUGUGCCCAGAUGGGAUUAGCUUGUAGGUGGGGUAACGGCUCACCAAGGCGACGAUCCCUAGCUGGUUUGAGAGGAUGACCAGCCACACUGGAACUGAGACACGGUCCAGACUCCUACGGGAGGCAGCAGUGGGGAAUAUUGCACAAUGGGCGCAAGCCUGAUGCAGCCAUGCCGCGUGUAUGAAGAAGGCCUUCGGGUUGUAAAGUACUUUCAGCGGGGAGGAAGGGAGUAAAGUUAAUACCUUGCUCAUUGACGUACCCGCAG